rnacentral:lncRNA from 1 species
GCCCUGAGCCUCUCUGAGCACACUUUCUUGCCUUUCUGCCUUCUGCCAUGGGAUGAUGCAGCAGAAAGGGCCCUGCUGGAUGUGAGACCCUUGACCCUGAACUUCCCAGCCUCCAGAACAGUUACAAACGGACUUCCGUCAAAGGGAUACGUGGGUAUGAAUUGGAAGAAUCUGAGUGGAAAUGCAACACUGAUAUUUUGGAUCUCCAGAAUUUGCCUAUAAGAAGAGUCAUUUAUUCAGGAGGUCCUGAAUUUGCUUAUAAGAAGAGUCAUUCUCUGCAGAGAAUGCAAAAGAUGAGUCAAGGGAUGAUUCUGCAAUAUAAUUGGAGGAUGUAAAGCAAUUGCAAAAAUAAUUCUGUCUCAUGGAAUACUGAAUGUCUCUAGGAAAUACCAACCAAUAUUGGAGUUCUGAAAAAGUGAUAAUGAGCAGUAUACUGUAGGGAACUAGGAAAGACUACUUGACAAAGAUAGUAUUUGAGAUCAUAGAUAAGUGCUUUGGGCCAAAAGAAUUGUUACUUUCUCAGUUUAGUUGAAAGCAAAUAAUGAUACUGUGCUCAUUUUUAUAGACAACAAUAGCACACAUGUAUGUGGAUGAAAAUGAGCGAUACAGACUAAUUAUGAGUGAAAGAAAUCCUUGCAGAACUAACAAUCCAGUGUUGUCCAAAACAAACCAAUGGACAAAGUAUUUGAAAAUGCUAGUACCAUCCUAACAUCCCAAUUGUUUUGAGCAAAUUCUUAUUGAUAGAGAUCUCUGGGCCUGCUUAUCAACCAGUGAGUAACUCCAAUAGUCAAUAAACAAAUGCUGCCUCCCUCAUUAGGGAUGGAUAUAGAUGGAAAUAGAAUUUCAGAAGAGUUGACAGACAAGCCAAAUAUUGUCAACUUUCAAAUUUGUCAUGUUGCCCCUAGUUCGAGCCUCACUGUCCAAAUCCCAGAGAAAGAGAUGGUGGGAUGUGAGGAAUGGAGAUAAUCUGUGUCUCUUUGGGAUGUUUUGGGGUCUACUUAAGGCCAGCAUGACAAACAUGUAUAGUGACAACCCUAAUCAAUUGUUCAUGGCUGUCUGAAAGGGUUGGUGAGGCUACAGUGAGCAAUAAAAAAUUGCCAUCAGUAAUUGGCCAUAAUUACCUUGAACAAGUGGCAACUUGUGAUAGGCAACAGUUUCUAUACAGUGGUAAAACAUGUCUUAUACUGUUCCAGAGGGUAUAUGAUUUAAUCAACAGUACAAUUGAAGCUGUAUUGUAUUGGGGCACUUAAUAUUAGAAUUUUGCUAAAAUAUUUGAUUUCUAUUUAGACACACAGAUCUCUAAAAGAUAGUUUUCUGUCUUGAUUACAUGUUCUUCACUUCAUUCUGAAUCAGAUUGGAAAUAAUAAGUUGUGCUUUAUAUGCUUGGUAGCUCAUUCAUUCAUUCACAAAUUCAGCCAGUCAGCCACUGUCCUAGUUAUCUAUUGCUGGGUAACACAUGACUUCAAAAUUUGGUGGAUUGAAACAACAACAAUUAUGUCAUUAUCUCUUCCAGUUUCUGUGGGUCAGGAAUCUUGGAAGGACUCAGCUAGGUGGCUCAGCUCAGGUUCCCUUUGUGGUUUCAAGUCAUAUGGUGGCUGGGAGAGUGUGGGGCUGAAGCAGCUGGGGGCUGGAUGGGCAGCUUACUGUCUUCAUGUAGUUCCUGGGCCUCUGCACAUGGGUUAAUCUGGACUCCAAAGGUAAGAUGUACCACCUUUUAUGACCUAGCUUUUGAAGUUACGCAAUACACGUUGAGCAUCCCUAAUUUGAAAAUCUGAAAUCCAACAUGCUCCCAAGUCUGAAUUUUUUGACUGCUGACAUGAAGCCACAAGUGGAGAAUUUCACACUUGACCCCAUGUGACAGGCUGCAAGUCACAGUGCAGGAGCAUAACAAGCAGUUUAUUCUGUGCUUCCAAGGGAACAAAGACCCUUGGAGCCCUCCUCAGCUGUGAUGUACAUUUGUUGCACAUGUUCAGAUUCUCCCAUGCAAGCAACCAGACUGUCCACAUAGGUGGUUGCUAGUGACAUAUUUACCUUCUGAUGGCUCAGUGUAUACAAUCUUAGUUUCAUGCAAAAAAAUAUUUAAAAUAUGAUAUGAAAUACCUUCAGGCUAUGUAUAUAAACUGUAUAUAAACCAUAAAUGAAUUUUAUGUUUAGGCUUGUGUCCCAUCUCCAAGAUAUCUCAUUAUGUAUAUGAAAAUAUUCCACACUCCAAAAAAAACACUAAAAAUCCAAAACACUUCUGUCCCAAGAAUUUCAGAAUAGGGAUACUUAGCCUGUAUCACUUCUACUACACACUACUGAUUAUAAGCUAGUUAUAAGACUACCCACCCAGGUUGGAGAAGAAGGGAAGUAGUCUGCACCUCUUUAUGGGGAUGUGACUAGGGUUUUAGAAAACAUAUGGGAUAGGAGAUGAUGUUGCUAUCUUGGAAAAAUAUGAUCAGCUGAUUAGCCAGAGUCACAAACAUUUGUUGGGAGCCUUUUAUGUGCUAGGCUGCACAUACUCUGGGAAUACAGUGAAGAGGAGGGACAAUGUCCUUGCUCCUGAGUGGCAUAUAUUCUACUGAGGAUGAGUGAGGAGAUAAACAAGAGGUAAAUACACAGGAAAGACAAGAUUGAAUUGUGGUAAGUGCUAUGAAGAAUGUUAAACAAAACAGAAUAACUGGGGUUUGGAGAGCUUCUUUAGAUAAGGUGGUCAGGACAGGUCUCUCUCUCUCUCUUUUUUUUUUUUGCUUCAGUGUCUAUUUUAUUUAUUUAUUUAUUUAUUUAUUUAUUUAUUUAUUUAUUUAUUAUACUUUAAGUUCUGGGGUACAUGUGCAGAACAUGCAGGUUUGUUAUAUAGGUAUACAUGUGCUAUGUUGGUUUGCUGCACCCAUCAACUCGUCAUUUACAUUAGGUAUUUCUCCUAAUGCUAUCCCUCUUCAAGGCCCCCACCCCAUGAUGGCCCUGGUAUGUGAUGUUACCUUCCCUGUGUCCAUGUGUUCUCAUUGUUCAACUCCCACUUAUGAGAACACGUGGUGUUUGAUUUUGUUCAUGUGUUACUUUGCUGAGAAUGAUGGUUUCCAGUUUCAUCCAUGUCCCUGCAAAGGACAUGAACUCAUCCGUUUUUAUGGCUGCAUAGUAGUCCAUGGUGUAUAUGUGCAACAUUUUCUUUAUCUAGUCUAUCAUUGAUAGGCAUUUGGCUUGGUUCCAAGUCUUUGCUCUUGUGAACAGUGCUGCAAUAAACAUACAUGUGCAUGCGUCUUUAUAGAAUGAUUUAUAAUUCUUUGGGUAUAUACCUAGUAAUGGGAUUGCUGGGUCAAAUGGUAUUUCUAGUUCUAGAUCCCUGAGGAGUUGCCACACUGUCUUCCACAAUGAUUGAACUAAUUUACACUUCUACCAACAGUGUAAAAUUGUUCCUAUUUCUCCACAUCCUCUCCAGCAUCUGUUGUUUCCUGACUUUUUGAUGAUCGCCAUUCUAACUGGUGUGAGAUGGUAUCUCAUUGUGGUUUUGAUUUGCAUUUCUCUAAUGGAUAGGUCACUUUUAAUUAAAGAACUUAAUGAGAAGAAAACAGUCAGGGAAACAAGAGUUCCAGGUGGAUGGAAGAGCAAAAAUACAGCAUGUGAGCUCCAGUGCCCAGAAGCCUGUCUAACAAACACCUGGCAUUCACUUGAGCUCUGCUGAAUAGAGAAUGACUGAAUGAACACCAGACCUUAAGUUGCCACCUGCUCAUAUCCCACUGCAAGCUCUACAUGAACUCAAACUGUGGCAAAGACGCAAAGCCAGGAGAAAUUGUCUCGACAACCAAAACAAUCUGUAAACUUGGAUCAAGAGGACCCAUCAAUGACAAGAAUACACACGAAAAUCUUUUGGCCACUCUUGAAACAGAUCAUUCUAAUCAACAGGCAAUAACAGUGGGGACACCUGGGCCACAAUAAACCCUUUCACAACUGUGCCCUUUACCUUGGGCCCUCAUAGCCCCUCUGCUGGGAUUUGCAAGUCCUCUUCAACAAGGAGUUCCCAAACCAAGGGCCAAGACACAUCUGGAGACUGUCUCUUGGGUUUGACAGUUGUACUUUUAAGCAUUCCUGCCCUUCUGGUUUCUUGAUCCUUUGGCUCAUUUAUGAGAAGCACUGUGUAAUCAUCUGACCCUGAGCCAAGAACAGAGGCCUACAGAGGCCCUGGCUAAUGUGGGAACUAAGCUUUCAGCUUUGUGGGCUGAGUCUGCUGAGCUAAGCAGCUUCCUAGGACUGUCAGAGGAUUGGUGCUACUUAAGUGCAGUUGUUCUAUUACACUCUUUUCUAUGAGUUGGAUGAGCCUUUGCGGAUUAAACAGUUGUUUGCACUUCCCCAGUUCCACGCUGACUUUUAUAACAUAUCACCAAAAGGUGUUUCACAUUGAAUGGAGUGUUAUAAGGUUCCAUAUGGUGAGGUAUGGUUUCCUCCUGCCUGGAGUUCUGAAUCAUUCUGCAAUUUGUGUGAAUCUGCUUUGCUAUCAGGUUCUUGAAGAUGGGGCAAGGUACUGUCCCAACAUCAGAGGAAGGAUGUCCAUAUCCUUCUGGUUCCUGUGCUAUUCUUGAUCCUUACUGGCCUCCAAGUAGAAGGCCCUUGCUCCAAGGGUCCCUCACCAUCCCAUUCUGGCAUAUGGUGAGGUAUGCCUGGCCCUGCCAGAUCUUUGGGAUGUGGUGCUGGCUGUCACUGCUGAAGUCCAUGGCCCCUCUGCCACCUUCCUCUGAUACCACUAAACUCAGCAAAGAAGACUGGAGAUGUAUGUUACACAUGUGACUAUUGUAAUGAAUUCAGAUAUGCUUUUCUUCUGAUACAGAAAAUAUUUUAUAAUUAAAAGAAGAUGGUUCCUUAUAUAUGUGCCUUUUCAAUGGCCAUCAACAAUUCAUAGCUACAGAUUCUGCUAUGUCUGCAUAGCAACAGACUCAGUCUGCUUAUACCUUAUGAAUUAUAAAUUUACUCAUGGACGAGUGUGUGUUGUUCUCUCAAAGGUUUGAUUAUUUAGAUUCAUUAAGUGUUGUACUCGAAAGAAAUAAGACUGGUAACUGUAUUUUAAUAAAGUAUUUAAAUACCUAAACAUGUUAAUAUUUUAACAGAUAUAAGAGUGUAUUGUGCUGUAGGUACAGGUAUUUAUUAUUGUUGUUAUUGUUUUUAAAUAGAGUAGGACUUCGAAAGGAAACCACAAGGAACUUUAAGUCCUGCUUUUAAUCACCGUCACCUUAUUUUACAAAGAAAAAUAUAUUUCAUUCAUGUAAGUUGCUAUUCAUAUUUAGUUAUAUAUUUCUACAUUAUGAAGAAAGUAUUCACCCUGAGGCGGGGAAAACAGAAUCCCCAGUUAGCUCCUAUUGAAUGCCUCCAUCCUGGAAUACUGUACAACCGACACAUGCAUUGGAAUUAUUCAUGCUGCUUGUAUACCUUGGGAGAUGAACACCUUGAAGACAAACUCAGAAUUUCAAAAAAAUAAUGCCACAGCAUUCAGCCUAGUGUCCCACAAAUGACUGAAUCUCAAAACUGUCUCUUGAAUUGAAUUUUGCCUGCAGAUAAUACAGACCUGAACACACUUGACAGCCAUUGAAAAUGCUUCUUUCCCCUCAUAUUUAAGAAAUGGAAUAGCCUAAUGGUCAACAGAAAACCACCGUAACUCAAAUCCUAUCUCUGUCACAUACAAGUUGUUUAACUUUAGACAAGUCUUUCUGUGCCUCAGUUCUCUCAUUACUCAAAUAGUUAAAAAAAAUUGAGAUGUAAAUAUAUCAAUAUAUGUAAGAUGCCUCAGAAAGUGCCUAGAAUGUAGCAAACACUUUACAAGUAUUAAUUAUUAUCAUUAUUAUUAUCCUAGUUUAACUCUCUGCAAAAAUUGAGUUGAGACUUCAAAGGAAUGGCUAACUAAAAAUACGCAUGCCUCACAAAGGAUAUUUGUUUCCAAGAGACCACAAAUUUAUAAAUCUUCCUCCUCUCUUUCCCUGAUGGUCAAAUACAUGGACCCAUUUUGGAAAUGUAAUUUCCUACUGUCUGUGAAGGUAACACCCCUGCCUGUUCUCCUAAAGUACUCAUGCAAAUUAAACAGAAUGAACUUAUGGAAAAAGAGACAGAGUAUGUAGGGCCUCUAGAGAUGGCUGUCUGAUUUUUUGUUGGGCUUAUCUUCUGAUUUCAUUUCGAUUUGGGAUAUAAGACCAGGGGUGUUUUGUGGUUAGUGUGAGGUCAAGGACAGAAAACAAAUCCAGUGGACAAUACUACCUCAUCGGAGAGCAGAAAAUCAUAACAAUUUAAUACAGCAUCAAUGUGGCUGAUUAACAGUCCAAAAAUUAGUAUUUUUCUUUUUCAUUCUGAUUAGGAAUAAGAUAGUAGCCUUACUUUGAAAAGCCCAAGAAUAACAGGUAUUCCACAAACAGGUUAACACUGAGUUUCUUCAUUAGGGACUCCUCCCCUUCCCAUCCUUCUCUCUCUUCUUUCUCUGUUUUACUGUACACCUCAACACCUGUGAGGAGAUCAUGUAUAAGCAUAAAAGGGAGUCAGUCUCCUGUGUUGUAGAAUUAAUGAGGUGUCCAAAGGGCCCCAUCUCAUUCCUUUUUCUCUAAUUCCUUCUUGAAUUUAAAGGCCUUGUCUAGCUUAAAUACUUCAUUUACCAUAAAAAUUACUUACUGGGGCUUUUUAACACACUUUGUUCAAUCUUUAGCAGAUAAAGCAGACCAAAAACUAAGGAUAUAGAAGAGUUGGGAAAUAUAAUAGAAAAUUUUGCUUUCAUAGCUAUGUGUUAAAAUUUAUUUCCUAGAGAGAGACUACAUUUUUUACUAGGCCUCAAAGAACAUCUCAACAAAAUCCUGAAAUUGGAAAUUAUAUAGGCCUGGCAGAUGAGCAGAGAGGAACGUAGGUAAUAAGGUCAGGGUGGGUAAUUUUUAAGAGGGCCCACUCAUGCAAGGGUUGAGGGAAGAACCUCCAUGAGGAAGGUCGGCAUGGGGUAAGGGCAUGUCAGUGGUGGUACACUUUGUAGAGGAGGACACAUGUAAAAUGGCACUAUCAUUUGAUUACCUUCUUUAUGAGUCUCUUGGACAAAUACUAAUGUUUCAAUUACAUAUCACUGUUGUUUUCUCUAGCAACUUUUCAUUGCAGUCUUCCCCAAUGUGGUGUCAAUAUAUUACCUUACAAAAUUGUUAAAAUGUGACAGUUUAGAAAAAUGUGCUCUAGUGGAGCUCUUUUC